GCCUGAUGCAGGUGGAGAUCUCCUGGAGCUGGUGUUGGGGGAUGGGCUGCCAAGGCCCCGGGGCUCUCACACACACCUGGCUGCACAUGCAGGUGCUCACACACCCCCAGGUGUGCAGCACACUCUCACACAGCUCUGACACUGCACAGGUGUGCAGCACACUCUCACACAGCUCUCACACACAGGUGCUCACAGACAGACAGGUGUGCAGGCACACACACAGCUCUCACACACCCAGGUGUGCAGGCACACACUCACACAGCUCUCACACACAGGUGCUCACACACACCCAGGUGUGCAGGCACACUCUCACACAGCUCUCACACACAGGUGCUCACACACACCCAGGUGUGCAGGCACACACACAGGUGCUCACACACACCCAGGUGUGCAGGCACACGCUCACACAGCUCUCACACACACCCAGGUGUGCAGGCACACACACACACAGCUCUCACACACACACAGGUGCUCACACGCACCCAGGUGUGCAGGCACACACUCACACAGCUCUCAC